rnacentral:snRNA from 1 species
AUAUCCACUGCAGCAGCAUAUACACUAAAAUUGGAAUAACACAGAGAUUAGCAUGGUCCCUAUAAAAGGAUGACAUGCAAUCUGUCACAUGUUCCAUAUUUAA